UACGGAGGGUGCAAGCGUUAUCCGGAUUCACUGGGUUUAAAGGGUGCGUAGGUGGGUUGGUAAGUCAGUGGUGAAAUCUCCGUGCUUAACAUGGAAACUGCCAUUGAUACUACUGGUCUUGAAUUUUUCCGGAGGUAAGCGGAAUAUGUCAUGUAGCGGUGAAAUGCUUAGAUAUGACAUAGAACACCAAUUGCGAAGGCAGCUUACUACAGGGACAUUGACACUGAGGCACGAAAGCGUGGGGAUCAAACAGG
rnacentral:rRNA from 1 species